ACUGUAUUUCAAGAUCACAUAAGUUAAAAUGUGGCAGGAUUUUAUAGCUAAGACUUAAUUGCCAUAUUAACCAUCUGAUGAACUGGGCUAGUUACUGUACGGAAACCCACAAUGGACUAAUCACGUCAUAAUAACCUUGGCAUAGUCAUGGUGCCCAGUCACAAAAGACAACCUAUGCAAGAAAAACACAUACAUAAAUUCUCAAUUCAUAAAAAAAAAUAUAUAUAGGAGAGAAUGUACCUAAAGGAUACACACAAAA